rnacentral:rRNA from 1 species
UACGGAGGGGACUAGCGUUGUUCGGAAUUACUGGGCGUAAAGCGCACGUAGGCGGAUUUGUAAGUCAGGGGUGAAAUCCCGGGGCUCAACCUCGGAACUGCCUUUGAUACUGCAAAUCUCGAGUCCGGAAGAGGUGAGUGGAAUUCCUAGUGUAGAGGUGAAAUGCGCAGAUAUCGGGAGGAACACCAGUAGCGAAGGCGGCACUCUGGGCCGGUACUGACGCUGAGGAGCGAAAGCGUGGGGAGCGAACAGG